rnacentral:rRNA from 1 species
UACGUAGGUGGCAAGCGUUAUCCGGAUUUAUUGGGCGUAAAGGGAACGCAGGCGGUCUUUUAAGUCUGAUGUGAAAGCCUUCGGCUUAACCGGAGUAGUGCAUUGGAAACUGGGAGACUUGAAUCCGGGAGAGGGUGGCGGAAUUCCAGGUGUAGGAGUGAAAUCCGUAGAUAUCUGGAGGAACAUCAGUGGCGAAGGCGGCCACCUGGACCGGUAUUGAAGCUGAGGCGCGAAAGCGUGGGGAGCAAACAGG